rnacentral:misc_RNA from 1 species
UCAUGUUAGCACGGUCAAGCAAAACCUUAACAGCAUCUUCUUGGCCGAGACCUGCAGCCCACAUAAGUGGUAUUCCAGCAUCACUUUGCAAAUCAACGUCUACACCCUUCGACAGUAACAAUUUAACCAAUUGAAUAUGUCCUUCAUCAAUCUUCAACUCCUCCACCAAGUACUUGCACAUCUUAAGUUGUCCUUCCGUAGCGGCAAAG